rnacentral:rRNA from 1 species
AGACGACGCUGGGCGGCGUGCUUAAAACAUGCGAAGUCGAACGGACUUCUCAUGAAGCUUGCGAUUGAGAAGUUAGUGGCGGACGGGUGAGUAACGCGUGGGCCAACCUGCCCCUGAGCCCGGGAUAACAGUUCGAAAGGACUGCUAAGACCGGAUAUACUUGCGGUGAAGCAUUUCACUGCAAGGAAAGGGAACGCUCAGGGAUGGGCCCGCGUCCCAUUAGCUAGUUGGUGAGGUAACGGCCCACCAAGGCGACGAUGGGUAGCCGGCCUGAGAGGGUGAACGGCCACACUGGGACUGAGACACGGCCCAGACUCCUACGGGAGGCAGCAGUUGGGAAUCUUCGGCAAUGGGCGCAAGCCUGACCGAGCAACGCCGCGUGAGUGAUGAAGGUUUUCGGAUUGUAAAGCUCUGUCUUCCGGGACGAUAAUGACGGUACCGGAGGAGGAAGCCACGGCUAACUACGUG